rnacentral:rRNA from 1 species
CACGUAGGGCGCGAGCGUUGUCCGGAAUUAUUGGGCGUAAAGAGCUCGUAGGCGGCCUGUUGCGUCCGCUGUGAAAGCCCGGGGCUUAACCCCGGGUCGGCAGUGGAUACGGGCAGGCUAGAGGUAGGUAGGGGAGAAUGGAAUUCCCGGUGUAGCGGUGAAAUGCGCAGAUAUCGGGAGGAACACCGAUGGCGAAGGCAGGUCUCUGGGCCACUACUGACGCUGAGAAGCGAAAGCAUGGGGAGCGAACAGG